rnacentral:rRNA from 1 species
CGCGUAGGCGGCGGGUCAAGUCGAGUGUGAAAGCCCCGGGCUCAACCUGGGAAUUGCGCUCGAGACUGGUCUGCUUGAGUUCGGGAGAGGAGAGUGGAAUUCCCAGUGUAGAGGUGAAAUUCGUAGAUAUUGGGAAGAACACCGGUGGCGAAGGCGGCUCUCUGGACCGAGACUGACGUUGAGGCGCGAAAGCGUGGGGAGCAAACA